rnacentral:lncRNA from 1 species
AAACUGCAAAUACACAGCAUCAUAAAUUUCAUUGAUCCUGACGAAUGUUCUUACCCCCCACAAAUUACCGCAGUAAAGGUCAGACCUUCUACCCCGCAACCAACUAUAAAUUCCACAAGACCCAAUAACUUGAAACGUAGAAAUAGAGAUUCCCACGGUAGAAUUUCAACAACACAUGAGGGAUUGUGUAAAAAAAUCAAGGCUUGUGUGUUAAUGGCUUCUCCAUUCCCAUAUAUAGCUGGUAAAUUUAUCAGGAAACUAAGCUGUUACCUGGUGAGCUCUAUAGGCAAAAUGCACAACCUGAAGCAGUAGAGCUUCCUGGGUGGAUUCCCUGUCUAAAUUCCUUGCCACUUCAAGCUCCACCCUCACUCUCUUCAUAUAGGUCUUGGCCAAUUUUACCCAAGCCUGCUUAAUCUGCGCACAAGAAUGGUCAAUCAAUUAAAAGUCUUGCACACACAUUACUAUUCAUCUACAAUGAUCAAUUAAAGUCUUGCACUUUAGAUCAAAAUUUAAAACCAUCCUUCCAAGUUUAAACUGAUUCGUUCAACUGUCACACCUUACUCAUUAUUCCUGAAUCAAGCAUCCAAUCAGUGGGGAUCUUAUAAUCCUCAUAAAAGCGCACGACUGAGCUUCUCAGUUUUAUUAGUCUCUGUGUGCUCCUUUCAGACCUGGAAUCAUGAUAAGAAGGAAGCGUAAGUCAAUACCUGACCGGAUAAAAUAAAUUUUUCAUGGUAACUUGAAUCUAGUAAAGGAAACCUUACUGGUCUAGUGAGCUAGCCAUCUUCUUCAAGGUAGAUUCACAUGGAAUAUUUGGAUCAUCAUUAUAAGAAUAAAUCUUCAUUUCUAACAUUUUAAGUUCACGAUACUCAACGGCAGCUUCCCGCAAAGCAUCGGCUUUCCUCUCAGGCCACUUGAAAUGCUUUAACACAGCCCGCUCAUCAGCCUGAAACAAACACUAGUGAUAAAAAAUUUCAUAUAAUAAUGCCAAUUUCUCCAACCUGCAUCACCAAUAGACACGCAAUGGGAUAUUGAACCCCAAUUUUCCAGCUGCAUAAGGGAGCAUUUUUUCCCUAGGGGCUAGAGUGAAAUGGUCCGGGCAACCUUAUCUAUCCUUAAUUAUAAACAACUGAGAAAACAUCAAACAACCUCCGGUGAAACUUAUAAGAUGUUAUAUUUCGUGUAGGAUGAUGGUCCACCCAUUUAGACGACACACAACUCCAAAGAAGCAAUCACCCAUUUAUUCACACUUUAUUAUUGAGAUAUAAUAGAAAAGCAGCUACUGGGAGGGAAGGCGGCGUGAAAUUUAUCAACUUGAGGAAGACAAUGGACUAAGAUAAGCCACCACCUGUGGCCAGUAACUAUCCAACAGAUGGAGAAAUUACCUUCUUAUGGUUUUCAGGACUUGGUACAGCCACAGGAUUACGAAAGCAUAAUGUGUCCUACUCUAACAUGCCAUUUGAACAGUUAUAACAUCUUUUCAGGAAUAUCCAAUAUGAACAUUACGAAAGCAGAAAGAAUUACCAGA